ACUCCUACGGGAGGCAGCAGUGGGGAAUAUUGCACAAUGGGCGCAAGCCUGAUGCAGCAACGCCGUGUGAGUGAAGAAGGUUUUCGGAUCGUAAAACUCUGUCCUAAGGGAAGAAACAAAUGACGGUACCUUAGGAGGAAGCCCCGGCUAACUACGUGCCAGCAGCCGCGGUAAUACGUAGGGGCAAGCGUUAUCCGGAAUCACUGGGGCGUAAAGGGUGCGUAGGCGGCUUAGCAAGCCAGGGGUGAAAGGCAUUGGCUCAACCAAUGUAAGCCUUUGGAACUGUUAAGCUUGAGUGCAGGAGAGGUAAGUGGAAUUCCUAGUGUAGAGGUGAAAUUCGUAGAUAUUAGGAGGAACACCAGUGGCGAAGGCGACUUACUGGACUGUAACUGACGCUGAUGCACGAAAGCGUGGGUAGCGAACAGGAUUAGAUACCCUGGUAGCACAGAG
rnacentral:rRNA from 1 species